CCUACGGGAGGCAGCAGUGAGGAAUAUUGGUCAAUGGACGCGAGCCUGAACCAGCCAAGUAGCGUGAAGGAUGACUGCCCUAUGGGUUGUAAACUUCUUUUAUAAAGGAAUAAAGUGAGGCACGUGUACCUUUUUGUAUGUACUUUAUGAAUAAGGAUCGGCUAACUCCGUGCCAGCAGCCGCGGUAAUACGGAGGAUCCGAGCGUUAUCCGGAUUUAUUGGGUUUAAAGGGAGCGUAGAUGGUUUGUUAAGUCAGUUGUGAAAGUUUGCGGCUCAACCGUAAAAUUGCAAUUGAUACUGUCAGUCUUGAGUACAGUUGAGGUAGGCGGAAUGCGUGGUGUAGCGGUGAAAUGCUUAGAGAUCACGAAGAACUCCGAUUGCGAAGGCAGCUUACUAAACUGUCACUGACAUUGAGGCUCGAAAGUGUGGGUAGCAAACAGGAUUAGAUACCCUAGUAGUC
rnacentral:rRNA from 1 species